rnacentral:rRNA from 1 species
UUGACUGGGGCGGUCUCCUCCUAAAGAGUAACGGAGGAGCACGAAGGUUGGCUAAUCCUGGUCGGACAUCAGGAGGUUAGUGCAAUGGCAUAAGCCAGCUUGACUGCGAGCGUGACGGCGCGAGCAGGUGCGAAAGCAGGUCAUAGUGAUCCGGUGGUUCUGAAUGGAAGGGCCAUCGCUCAACGGAUAAAAGGUACUCCGGGGAUAACAGGCUGAUACCGCCCAAGAGUUCAUAUCGACGGCGGUGUUUGGCACCUCGAUGUCGGCUCAUCACAUCCUGGGGCUGAAGUAGGUCCCAAGGGUAUGGCUGUUCGCCAUUUAAAGUGGUACGCGAGCUGGGUUUAGAACGUCGUGAGACAGUUCGGUCCCUAUCUGCCGUGGGCGCUGGAGAACUGAGGGGGGCUGCUCCUAGUACGAGAGGACCGGAGUGGACGCAUCACUGGUGUUCGGGUUGUCAUGCCAAUGGCACUGCCCGGUAGCUAAAUGCGGAAGAGAUAAGUGCUGAAAGCAUCUAAGCACGAAACUUGCCCCGAGAUGAGUUCUCCCUGAGACUUUAAGUCUCCUGAAGGAACGUUGAAGACGACGACGUUGAUAGGCCGGGUGUGUAAGCGCAGCGAUGCGUUGAGCUAACCGGUACUAAUGAACCGUGAGGCUUAACCUUAC